CCUUCCCCCGCAAAAAACUGCGAAGAACCAACAGAAACAGAGAAGAUUAGCAUGGUCUCUGCACAAAGAUGACAUGCGAAUUCGUGAAGCGUUCCAUAUUUGU
rfam:Octopus bimaculoides Scaffold61729_contig_17, whole genome shotgun sequence.